AGUGAACGCUGGCGGUAGGCCUAACACAUGCAAGUCGAACGGCAGCACAGUAAGAGCUUGCUCUUACGGGUGGCGAGUGGCGGACGGGUGAGGAAUACAUCGGAAUCUACUUUUUCGUGGGGGAUAACGUAGGGAAACUUACGCUAAUACCGCAUACGACCUACGGGUGAAAGCAGGGGAUCUUCGGACCUUGCGCGAUUGAAUGAGCCGAUGUCGGAUUAGCUAGUUGGCGGGGUAAAGGCCCACCAAGGCGACGGUCCGUAGCUGGUCUGAGAGGAUGAUCAGCCACACUGGAACUGAGACAAGGUCCAGACUCCUACGGGAGGCAGCAGUGGGGAAUAUUUGACAAUGGGCGCAAGCCUGAUCCAGCCAUACCGCGUGGGUGAAGAAGGCCUUCGGGUUGUAAAGCCCUUUUGUUGGGAAAGAAAAGCAGCAGGUUAAUACCCCGCUGUUCUGACGGUACCCAAAGAAUAAGCACCGGCUAACUUCGUG
rnacentral:rRNA from 1 species